GUUAUUAUCACUCAUAUCAUGUAUUCGUUGUACAGGUACAGUGCACACACAUGUUAAGUCGAAAUACGAAAUAUUGUACUAUUUGGAACUAUAAUACUCGACUACCUAACCUUCUUUCAGACUGAAAAUUACGUUCGUUUUCUCAUUGGUAAUAUGGAAAUUUCAAACACCGCACUGUUGUCGAACACUAUCCAAAUUCCUCAGCACGAAUACAGACAAGAGGCUAUAUGACAGAGGUACACCACUGUCAAUUGUAUAUAUUACGAAAGAAUGACUUUCGAAAACGCAAAAAACGCCACACUAGCGCCGCCCGCAAUCAGCUC